rnacentral:sRNA from 1 species
AAUCCCAUGGGGAUUUUUUUUGUCCCAUGGGACAACAAAUAUCCCAUGGGACUACAAUAAUCCCAUGGGACAAAAAAAAUCCCAAUGGGAUU